CAGCCGCCGCGGUAAUACGAAGGUCCCGAGCGUUGUUCGGAAUCACUGGGCGUAAAGGGAGCGUAGGCGGCGUGGUAAGUCAGAUGUGAAAUCCCGGGGCUCAACCCCGGAACUGCAUCCGAUACUGCCAUGCUAGAGGAUUGGAGAGGGUCGUGGAAUUCCCAGUGUAGAGGUGAAAUUCGUAGAUAUUGGGAAGAACACCGGUGGCGAAGGCGGCGACCUGGUCCAUUACUGACGCUGAGGCGCGACAGCGUGGGGAGCAAACAGGAUUAGAUACCCGCGUAGUCCCUGUCUCUUAUAC
rnacentral:rRNA from 1 species